rnacentral:rRNA from 1 species
AGAGUUGGCAACACCCGAAGUCGGUAGUCUAACCGCAAGGAGGACGCCGCCGAAGGUGGGGUUGGAUGAUUAGGGUUAAGUCGUAACAAGGUAGC